UGAACGUCUCGUUGGUCAGCUCGAUGAGGCCACCCGGGGUGAUCGUAGCCGCCCCAUCAAGGAUGAUGUUGUGACCGGUGAAGCCGGUGUAGAGGAACUGCUCAUCGCCUUCUCCGGCACCGGAGGCCGGAAGGUUUAGGUGGCGAUUUAUAGCACUCAGUUCUUGGAGGAGUAUAUGACCCAGUCCAUCUGCUAGCUAGAGCAUCUCUCCCUCAAGGUCAUCAGUGGAAUUCCAUGGAUGUAAGUAAGUCCAGGAGGUGGAAGAAGAAUGAGUUGAAUUGGCAGUAUGCAUGAGCUGGUCUCUGAUCUCCAUGACAGGCACCUGCUUACAUGGUAGAAAUUCAACAACAUCCACAUCAGAUCAGCCAAUCGGAGAUGCUGGCUUUACCACUUACCAGGACACCAUUCUGAUGAUUUUUUUAUAUAUACAUCAAGUGCACCUUUGAGACCUUGACUAUGUGGUACUCCUGGGCCCCACGUUCGACGACUCAGUGUAAAAAAAGAAGUAAACACCGAAAGUAAAAGUUAAGACACUGAUCUUCAUUCGUCCACACAACUUUAGCUUUCAUUUCUACAGUAUAUAUACUUCUUUAACCAUUUCUAUAGUAUACUACGGAGUAUUCUUUAGCUAAAAGCUGACACAGGUGAAACAUGAGCAUGACCCAUAUGGAUGCGAGUGGGUCAAGAUAGACAAAAUUGAGGUCACUGUAAUUAAUUAACGUUCCAUCAUGAAACGAAUCGUGUUGAGUAAGAUGUUGUUCACACAGAAAAGCUAACGAAUCGUGUUGAGUAAGAUGUUGCUCCGGCCCGUCCGUGUGUAUGCAUCAUUACAUCAAAUUAACUAGCAGGGCUGCCUGUGUUGCACCACACCUUUUCUACUAGCUUAUUACUCCUUAUACGUAGUGCAGCAUUAAGAAAAUUCAUCUGCUCUCUUCGAUCCAUAUUAGUUGUCAAAAUAUUACACGUAUCUAGACGCUUUUUGGACAUAAGUACAUUCAUAUUUGCGCAAAUUUGAGACAAUAAUAUGGAUCGGAGGGAUUAGCUUUCUUGUAAUCUAUUAGCUUCUUGUACUUUGAUUGAUAGAGUUAGUUAGGGGUCUCCCCUCCCGGCUUCGUUAAAAAGAAAAUACAUGUAAACAAUCAAAAAUUAGCAUCAGGAGCAUAAGGAAAUAUGACAUGUGAAAUUGAGGACGCAGAAUUAUUGAGACAUGAGUAGCAAAACAUGCAGGUCUUGCAGAAGAAGAAAAAAAAAAUGCUAAAAGCGAACGGGAAAGUUCGCUAAAAACAAAAAAAAAAUACUGGAACCAAACAAUGUUCGUCUGGCUUUGGGCCGAACAUUGGUGGCUUUGGACCUGUUAAUGGAUCGGAGAUUUGAACAAUGGUGGUUUUGGGCCACCAUCGGCACAAGUGGUCAGCGAUUCAAAACGACUCUGCUGUUUGACUCCCAGUUGCUCAGUGCUCCUCCGUCUCUGCUCCGCCCCGACGUCCCGCUGGUCCGGCCAACCUACGCUGCCCCGAAUCCCCAAUGGACCGCCCUGAUGGAGGACGCCGCGCCACCCCGACUCCCCUCGACAUCGGUAAUUCCAUCAAGGUGGAUGCAGGCAAACAUGUUGUGUACUUGCGUGCGUUUCUGCCCUCUUGGGGCUGUUGUAUAAUUCUCUUCUGGAUGCCAACGCGGCACGUGUUGAUUUAGUUUUGGGAGGCGGAGUCAAUCUGAAUCGCCAGUCAAUUAUUUGGAAUCAUGUUUUCAAAUGUUUCGUGAGAAUUGGGAGGCGUGGAGAAGAUCAAAGCAUGAACAUGGAGAAAUGGGCUAGGUUUAGAGAGAGCCAUGAUGAGAAAUGGAUAAGUCCCAAUAAUUGGAAGUAUGCUCAUGCCUCGGAACAUGAUCUGUCUCCCUUGCAGGCUGGGGUAAUGCGAGAUUGGAUUUGGAGUUUUCAGGUGGUGGAGGAUACACCUAUCUUUUGGAUCCUCUUUGGUGUGCUGGAUUAAUCACCUGUGCUGCUUGGGAAGGUCACCAACUAUGUUGCUUAUGCACCGGCUGUACUUAAGACUCCUCUUGGAGCACUAAGCAUAAUAGUGAGUUCAAUGUUAACACACUUUAUGCGGAAGGAGCAGCUUGACAAAAUCGGGAUUCUUGGUUGUAUACCGUGCAUAAUAGGCUCAGUUGUUCCUCAAGAGCACAUGCCGAAUUCUGUAGAAGAAAUCUGGAACCUAGCUACUCAACCUGGUGAAUGAAUCAACUUCUACUUAUCCACACACGUGACUUUUUAUAAUGGCCGCAGUUAUCUGUGGGGUUUCCCAGCUAAAUUACAUCAACAAGGUAAUGUGUCUACUCCUGUGAAUAUGUUUUGCUUACUUGCAAGUAUGUGAACUUGUAUUUCACCGGUUUUAAGAACUUAAAAUUUAACUCCGCCAAGUUGGCAUUCGACCACUUCUUCUGGGAGUGCCCUGCGUCUUUGGCUGGGAGCAGAUCUGGCACUGCUGGGGCCCGUUGAAGUGCCGUCUCUGGGUUCGGUUAGCUUGCACCGACUGAAGCUAGAUGGCCGAUCGUCUGUGACCAGGAGCCCAAAUCCGUUGCCCACCUUCUCAAGGACCGUGUCUUCUCUUGGUCGGUGCUUCACACGUCUUGGACAAGGCUGGCCUAAAGUCAUCUCCAUCUUCAUGCGCGCCCCCCGAUCCGAGGCGACAAAUACUAGCUAUUUCUAGGUCACGGUGAAGAACCUUUUGAUUUUGCAAUUGAGGUUUCUAUACUUGAAAAGAUAAAAAGUGGGUGGCUAUAUAUCCGCAGUCUACGUUUUCAAGCCGGAGGACCAAAGUUUGGGUAUCAUGACUUGCAGCGGGCUAGAGGAUGUUGUUAGAGACCCAUACCCUCAGCAAUGGUGGUGGUACUUUUUUUUCCUUCGGUUAUUGGACCUUUUUUUUUUCCAUUUGUACCUUUUUAGCUUAAAAAACUGCUUUAUUAAACAGGAGUAGGAAAAGGCUGAACAAUCCUAGUCAGAAAUUCAUGUGCAACACUAUAAAACUCAUCUACUCUACUACUAUAAGAGCAUGCUUCGCACAUAGGUGUCCAGCAAAAUUGGCUUCCCUUUUAACAUGGAGAGCUCAAAACACUGAAAACCGAAAUCUCAUACGAAUAUGAGCCUUCAUCUUUUUA